rnacentral:rRNA from 1 species
CAGUCGCCGCGGGAAUACGGAGGGUGCGAGCGUUAAUCGGAAUUACUGGGCGUAAAGCGUACGCAGGCGGUUUGUUAAGUCAGAUGUGAAAUCCCCGAGCUUAACUCGGGAACUGCAUUUGAAACUGGCAGGCUAGAGUCUCGUAGAGGGGGGUAGAAUUCCAGGUGUAGCGGUGAAAUGCGUAGAGAUCUGGAGGAAUACCGGUGGCGAAGGCGGCCCCCUGGACGAAGACUGACGCUCAGGUACGAAAGCGUGGGGAGCAAACAGGAUUAGAUACCCCUGUAGUCCCUGUCUCUUAUAC